UACAGAGGGUGCAAGCGUUAAUCGGAGUUACUGGGCGUAAAGCGUGCGUAGUCGGUUGUCUAAGUCGGAUGUGAAAUCCCCGGGCUCAACCUGGGAAUUGCAUUCGAUACUGGACAGCUAGAGUUCGGCAGAGGGAAGUGGAAUUUCUGGUGUAGCGGUGAAAUGCGUAGAUAUCAGAAGGAACAUCAGUGGCGAAAGCGACUUCCUGGACCAGAACUGACGAUCAGGCACGAAAGCGUGGGGAGCAAACAGG
rnacentral:rRNA from 1 species